GAUGAACGCUGGCGGCGUGCUUAACACAUGCAAGUCGAACGAAGCACUUUAACGUUAUUCUUCGUUUGAAGGUUUUUGUGCCUGAGUGUCGGACGGGUGAGUAACGCGUGGGUAACCUGCCUCAUUCAGGGGGAUAACAGUUAGAAAUGACUGCUAAUACCGCAUAAGACCACAUAGCCGCAUGGCUCGGUGGUAAAAACUCCGGUGGUAUGAGAUGGACCCGCGUCUGAUUAGUUAGUGGGGGGGGUACCGGCCUAGCAAGCCAAAGAUCAGUAGCCGACAUGGGAGCGCGACCGACAACAUUGGGACUGGGACAAGGAGGAAACUCCCCCGGGAGGCAGAAGUCGGGACUAUUGGACAACGGGGGAGACCAUGAGGCCGCGACGUCGUGAGAGCGUAGAAGUAGUGCGGUAUGUAAAGCUCUAGAAGAAGGGAAGAAAAUGACGGUACCUGACUAAGAAGCCCCGGCUAACUACGUG
rnacentral:rRNA from 1 species